UCGCGGCUCCAAUGGAAUUGGAAUUAACUCGAAUAAAUCACCUCGGUGGCUCUGUACGGCUACGCAGAGUUGCUCGUCUCUUUGCUCGAAGGAGUUCAAAUUUCUUUUACAACGACCUUAGCAUCCCUUGCGCCUUUUUUCCUGCUAAUUUCUACGAAGAAACGAAAGAAUUAUUGUACCGAGAGGUAAAACAACGCGGCAACGUUUCUUAUCUUUCGUCCUCAUCUACCGCGUUCAAAAUUCAAGAAAUUAAGUCCUAACGGUUAUUCGUUCCGUAACGAUUAAUAUUUUUGCAGACAGAUUGAUACCGUGUUUCUCGCGUAUCUUGAUUUAUCGCGGUUGUUAUUAAUUUUUCAGAGUAAUGGUUUAAAGUUAAACACCACGGCUCGUUGUUUAUUUCAUGCUAUGGAAGGAUGCGCCAAUUACCCUGGCAAACAGCGGAAAAACAAUAACGUAAUGCCAAAUAAUACCGGUUAUUUACGGCCCGGUGAAAUCUCGCGUAUUUCAUGAAAUUUCCACCAGGCAAAUGGGAGGGUAUUAUGUCACGGCAAUUGUAAAGGCGAAGAGUAAGUGGCAGAUAAAACGAUCGAAACGUUGCCCACUACGAAAGUCGUAAAGCGGUGCCGGCAUCUGGCGGCAUUCGUGGGAACAAACGAAACAACGCACCGAAGACGAAAUAUUGGGUGCGCGGGCGCAUCAUGGUCCAUUGAUCGAAAGAUAUUUUGUAACUCCAUAAAAUCACCGAAAGAACAAACUUUUACUUCGUUUUGCGACAAUCAGGAGCGACUAACCGAUUUGUCGUCGAUCGUUCGAGUUUGAAGAUUCGUGAAUCACAGGGGGGUUUCGAUUGGUUUCCACGAGCAAGCUGUGCAAGUUGCUGGAUGUGGCGCUUGUCCAGCAUGCGAGGAACGGAUCAGCAAGAAGUUCGGGGGUCCAGGUUUAUCCGAAGGGAGGUUCGUGGCGGAUACACCGUCCAGUAGGUGGGUGUGCGUUCCGGCACAUGCACCGAGAUCGACGAUGCACACGAGGACGCGUUUGGCCCGAGAAUGGAUGUGUUGGUCCCGAGCGGCGCAAAAAGAAUGUACUUGAGCCAGCGGAAGGGGUUAACAGGAGGUGAAAGGACGAGAAAAGGAUCGCACGAUAAGGGGGAAGCGUAGCGAAGGUGAAGGCACCGGCUCGAAAGAGGGAGGAAGGGAUCGAUUAUGUUAAUCGCCGUGGAUGCAAAUUAGACGGGUCAAGGGAAGACGUAUGUAUACUCGUCUGCACUUCCUUCAUUCGCGGAGCGUCAUCCACCAAACGCGACAACAUGGCCGUCACGAUGUAGGUAACUUCUUCUUUUCUCGCAUAUAUGGUCUCAAUAACUAGUAGAAAGCAAUUAAAAAUAGUAUAGUUGUUCUUAAAUUUACAAUAGCUUCAAGUUGAAACUAUCAACUUAUA